rnacentral:rRNA from 1 species
CGUUAGGAAUGUCAGCUAUGACUGAACGUUCAGCGUGCAAGUCCGCUGAGUGUCGAAGGCAUCGAUCGUCAAGCUCCUUGUGGUUAGCGAGAUAAGUACGGGCGGUAACUGCUCGUACCUUGAACGGUACUGAUCUAUAUAGGCAAGUGCUACUAACGAGUGCAGCAGCUGCGGGUAGAUACGUAAGCGGUGGGCAUGCGGAUAUACAGGACUUGUCUGGGGAGCUGAAUGUGUGGGGGGCAGGCGGUCUACUUAGUCUGAUUUGAAAGCUGCACGGCUCAUCGCGGGAGGGGGUCAUUGGUAACUCGGGGAGCUUGAGUGCAGAAGAGAAAAAGCGGAAUUACCACGUGUAGCCGUGAAAAUGCGUAGAGAUGUGGAGGAACAUCAGUGGCGAAGGCGGCUUUUUGGUCUGUAACUGACGCUCAGGCGCGAAAGCGCGGGGAGCAAACAGGAUUAGAUAUCCUGGUAGUCCACGCCGUAAACGAUGAGUGCUAAGUGUUAGAGGGUUUUCGCCCUUUAGUGCUGCAGCUAACGCAUUAAGCACUCCGCCUGGGGAGUACGGUCGCAAGACUGAAACUCAAAGGAAUUGACGGGGGCCCGCACAAGCGGUGGAGCAUGUGGUUUAAUUCGAAGCAACGCGAAGAACCUUACCAGGUCUUGACAUCCUCUGACAACUCUAGAGAUAGAGCGUUCCCUUCGGGGGACAGAGUGACAGGUGGUGCAUGGUUGUCGUCAGCUCGUGUCGUGAGAUGUUGGGUUAAGUCCCGCAACGAGCGCAACCCUUGAUCUUAGUUGCCAGCAUUUAGUUGGGCACUCUAAGGUGACUGCCGGUGACAAACCGGAGGAAGGUGGGGAUGACGUCAAAUCAUCAUGCCCCUUAUGACCUGGGCUACACACGUGCUACAAUGGAUGGUACAAAGGGCUGCAAGACCGCGAGGUCAAGCCAAUCCCAUAAAACCAUUCUCAGUUCGGAUUGUAGGCUGCAACUCGCCUACAUGAAGCUGGAAUCGCUAGUAAUCGCGGAUCAGCAUGCCGCGGUGAAUACGUUCCCGGGCCUUGUACACACCGCCCGUCACACCACGAGAGUUUGUAACACCCGAAGUCGGUGGAGUAACCGUAAGGAGCUAGCCGCCUAAGAGAGCAAACCCCUCCA